rnacentral:rRNA from 1 species
AUUGAACGCUGGCGGCAGGCCUAACACAUGCAAGUCGAACGAGUGGCGGACGGGUGUGUAAUGUCUGGGACAUUGCCCGACGGAGGGGGAUAAUUACUGGAAAUGGUAGCUAAUACCGCUUACCAUCGGAUGUGCCCAGAUGGGUUUAGCUAGUAGGUGGGGUAACGGCUCACUUAGUCGACGAUCCCUAGCUGGUCUGAGAGGAUGACCGGCCACACUGGACCUGUGUCGCGGUCCAGAUUCCUACGAGAGGCAGCAGUGGGGAAGAUUGCACUAUGGGCGCAGGCGUGAUGCAGCAAUGCGGCGGGUAUGUAGAGGGCCUUCGGGUUGUAGAGUACUUUCAGCGAGGAGGCGUUACUCGUAGAAGAAGCACCGGCUAACUCCGUUCCAGCAGCCGCGGUAAUAC